UAAACAAAGUGAUGAUUAUUCGGAAAACGUUACAUCUAUUAACUUUUGACAGAACGAAGUCUGUCCGGGCAGUUAGUUAUUAAUAUAUUUAAAAUUAUUAAUCGUUGACCGAUACGAUACAGCCGGUAAAUAUAACAUCCAGGGCCGACACUUAACGUGCUUAACGUUGACAGUCUUAUUUGAAUUAUUUGUCUAUGUUCCAGGUGCU
rnacentral:misc_RNA from 1 species